ensembl:snoRNA U3 Small nucleolar RNA U3
AAGCCUAUACUUUCAGGAAUCAUUUCUAUAGUUUUUUACUCGAGAAGUUUCUCUGAAUGUGUAGAGCACCAACCGAUAUCAUCCUGA